rnacentral:rRNA from 1 species
GUGUCAGCAGCCGCGGUAAGACGAACCGUGCGAACGUUGUUCGGAAUCACUGGGCUUAAAGGGCGCGUAGGCGGGCCUCCGAGUCCGGGGUGAAAUCUUUCGGCUUAACCGGAAAAGUGCCUUGGAUACUGGGGGCCUUGAGGGAGGCAGGGGCGGAUGGAACUUCCGGUGGAGCGGUGAAAUGCGUUGAUAUCGGAAGGAACGCCGGUGGCGAAAGCGAUCCGCUGGACCUCUUCUGACGCUGAGGCGCGAAAGCCAGGGGAGCAAACGGGAUUAGAAACCCCCGUAGUCC